AUUGAACGCUGGCGGCAGGCCUAACACAUGCAAGUCGAGCGGAGCGGCGGACGGGUGAGUAAUGCCUAGGACUCUGCCUGGUAGUGGUGGAUAGCGUCCGGCAACGGGCGCUAAUACCGCAUCCUAUCACAUGAGCCUAGGUCGGAUUAGCUAGUUGGUGGGGUAAAGGCCUACCAAGGCGACGAUCCGUAACUGGUCUGGGAGGAGGAUCAGCCAAACUGGAACGGAGACACGGUCCAGAGUCCUACGGGAGGCAGCAGUGGGGAAUAUUGGACAAUGGGCGAAAGCCUGAUCCAGCCAUGCCGCGUGUGUGAAGAAGGUCUUCGGAUUGUAAAGCACUUUAAGUUGGGAGGCGUUACCAGCAGAAUAAGCACCGGCUAACUUCGUGCCAGCAGCCGCGGUAAUAC
rnacentral:rRNA from 1 species